AGCCAAGAGCCAGGAGCUUCUUCCAGGUCUCCCAGCAACAGAAGACGGAUUGUCACAGGAACCAGUGCCCGAGAUGAUCAUGCCUGUCCAUCACGUGACUGUGAGAUGACCUGUUCUACUCAGGAUUGCCACAGUCAAGUUACAAGAGAGCCAGUAAAGUCUGAACACGGGAUUUAGGAGACACGCUAAAAUAAAACCACUGCCAAUUGGAAAUCUAAAUUGAACCGGGGCAUUCUGUAUUUAAAUCAGAGUUAGUGUCAUGUCCUGGAGAGGCAGCGCCUUGGCCAAGCCGACUGGAAAUGCCGGAAGCCAUCUGGAGGCGCAUGCUGAGUCACAGGGUCCAGAGAAAAACAAGAACUUGGUGACGCCCAAGGAAGGGGGUGGGGAGAACUCUCCCUGGAGAUCUCAGCGGGGCACCGGAAAUAGAAACAGCUCGCUUUGAAGUAUGUGGGAGAGUGUCUGUCUUUCACAGGUCACUGCAAGGUUGCAGUCCAGUGCCUUUCAAGCGCCAACUGAAUGUACAUGCAGAUGCUGGUAGACCUGCUGGUGAAAUGGUGGCUCUUAACUACCUUAGCAAACUAAGUAAAUUCUGGCUUUCCCUCUUUUCUGGCCUCCUUCUUGUCUGCCCUGGGGCAGUUCCCUGGGUCCUCUUCUGUAAGGAUCAUCCUAGUCUCAUGGAGACAGUUGAGAGCUUAAAUGAAACCAUGUUUUAUUGUG